rnacentral:antisense_RNA from 1 species
CUGUUUGCAGCGCUCUUCGGUGAGCGUGAGGCAGAUCAGGCCACGGCCGUACUUGGCCAUGAAGUUGAUGGCUUCCGGCGUCACGUGCUCGGCGGCCAUUACCA